GACGAACGCUGGCGGCGUGCUUAACACAUGCAAGUCGAACGGAAAGGCCUCUUUCGGGGGGUACUCGAGUGGCGAACGGGUGAGUAACACGUGAGUAACCUGCCCUUGACUUUGGGAUAACUUCAGGAAACUGGGGCUAAUACCGGAUAGGAGCUCCUGCUGCAUGGUGAGGGUUGGAAAGUUUCGGCGGUUGGGGAUGGACUCGCGGCUUAUCAGCUUGUUGGUGGGGUAGUGGCUUACCAAGGCUUUGACGGGUAGCCGGCCUGAGAGGGUGACCGGCCACAUUGGGACUGAGAUACGGCCCAGACUCCUACGGGAGGCAGCAGUGGGGAAUAUUGCACAAUGGGUGGAAGCCUGAUGCAGCAACGCCGUGUGCGGGAUGACGGCCUUCGGGUUGGAAACCGCUUUCGCUCAUGACGAAGCUUUGUGUGACGGUAGUGGGUAAAGAAGCACCGGCUAACUACGUG
rnacentral:rRNA from 1 species